GGUCAGAUGGCCGAGCGGUCUAAGGCGCCAGACUAAGGAUCAGCUUCAAUUGCGAAGCUUCAUUGGUUGAUUAACAUCGAUCAUCUGGUCCUCCGGGGCGUGGGUUCGAAUCCCACUCUGAUCA